UGGGGAAUAUUGGACAAUGGGGGCAACCCUGAUCCAGCCAUGCCGCGUGUGUGAAGAAGGUCUUCGGAUUGUAAAGCACUUUUAGUUGUGAGGAAGGAUACGUGUAACGAACGUAUUUUGACGUUAGCAACAGAAAAAGCACCGGCUAACUUCGUGCCAGCAGCCGCGGUAAUACGAAGGGUGCAAGCGUUAAUCGGAAUAACUGGGCGUAAAGCGCGCGUAGGUGGUUACUCAAGUUGGAUGUGAAAUCCCCGGGCUCAACCUGGGAACUGCAUCCAAAACUGAUUGACUAGAGUAUAGUAGAGGUUAGUGGAAUUUCCUGUGUAGCGGUGAAAUGCGUAGAUAUAGGAAGGAACACCAGUGGCGAAGGCGACUAACUGGACUAAUACUGACACUGAGGUGCGAAAGCGUGGGGAGCAAACA
rnacentral:rRNA from 1 species